rnacentral:rRNA from 1 species
CCUACGGGGGGCAGCAGUGAGGAAUAUUGGUCAAUGGGCGGAAGCCUGAACCAGCCAAGUAGCGUGCGGGAUGAAUGCCCUACGGGUCGUAAACCGCUUUUGCACGGGGAUAACACCCUCCACUUGUGGAUGUCUGCAGGUACCGUGCGAAUAAGGGCCGGCUAAUUCCGUGCCAGCAGCCGCGGUAAUACGGAAGGCCCGAGCGUUAGCCGGAUUCAUUGGCUUAAAGGGGGCGUAGGCGGGCGUUCAAGGCAGCUGUAAAAUCGCGGGGCUCAACCGCUCCCCGCAGUUGAAACUGGAAGGCUUGAGUUCACGAGAGGCAGGCGGAAUUCGUGGUGUAGCGGUGAAAUGCAUAGAUAUCACGAGGAACCCCGAUUGCGAAGGCAGCCUGCCGGGGUGCGACUGACGCUGAGGCUCGAAGGUGCGGGUAUCAAACAGGAUUAGAUACCCUAGUAGUC